AUGUUCGAGGAGGCGCUCGCCUACUAUGGUGUGAGCGCCCCCAACCUCUGGGACAAGGUGGCCAGCGCCAUGGGGGGCACCAAGUCUGCCCAGCAGGUGCGCCGCCACUUCCAGAUCCUCCUCGACGACGUUGAAAGCAUCGAGCACGGCCGCAUCCCCUUCCCCAAGUACAAGACCCAGGGUUUUUGGACCUAA
rnacentral:rRNA from 1 species